ACCUACGGGAGGCAGCAGUAGGGAAUUUUCGUCAAUGGGCGCAAGCCUGAACGAGCAAUGCCGCGUGAACGAGGAGGGUCUUCGGAUCGUAAAGUUCUGUUGAAGGGGAAAAAGAGCGGAGAGAGGAAAUGCUUUCUGAUUGAUAUUACCCUUCGAGGAAGUCACGGCUAACUACGUGCCAGCAGCCGCGGUAAUACGUAGGUGGCGAGCGUUAUCCGGAAUGAUUGGGCGUAAGGGGUGCGUAGGCGGCCUGCUAAGUCUGGAGUGAAAGGUACCGGCUCAACCGGUACAGGCUCUGGAAACUG
rnacentral:rRNA from 1 species